rnacentral:rRNA from 1 species
GAUGAACGCUGGCGGCGUGCCUAAUACAUGCAAGUCGAGCGAACAGACGAGGAGCUUGCUCCUCUGACGUUAGCGGCGGACGGGUGAGUAACACGUGGAUAACCUACCUAUAAGACUGGGAUAACUUCGGGAAACCGGAGCUAAUACCGGAUAAUAUAUUGAACCGCAUGGUUCAAUAGUGAAAGACGGUUUUGCUGUCACUUAUAGAUGGAUCCGCGCCGCAUUAGCUAGUUGGUAAGGUAACGGCUUACCAAGGCAACGAUGCGUAGCCGACCGGAGAGGGUGAUAGGCCACACGGGAACGGAGACACGGUCAAGACUCCUAAGGGAGGCAGCAGUAGGGAAUGUGACGCAAUGGGCGAAAGCAUGACGGAGCAACGCCGCGUGAGUGAUAAAGGUCUUCGGAUCGUAAAAAUCGGUUAUUAGGGAAGAACAAAUGUGAAAGUAAAUAUGCACGUAUUGACGGUACCUAAUCAGAAAGCCACGGCUAACUACGUG